AAAUUGAAGAGUUUGAUCAUGGCUCAGAUUGAACGCUGGCGGCAGGCCUAACACAUGCAAGUCGAGCGGUAGCACAGAGAGCUUGCUCUCGGGUGACGAGCGGCGGACGGGUGAGUAAUGUCUGGGAAACUGCCUGAUGGAGGGGGAUAACUACUGGAAACGGUAGCUAAUACCGCAUAACGUCGCAAGACCAAAGUGGGGGACCUUCGGGCCUCAUGCCAUCAGAUGUGCCCAGAUGGGAUUAGCUAGUAGGUGGGGUAACGGCUCACCUAGGCGACGAUCCCUAGCUGGUCUGAGAGGAUGACCAGCCACACUGGAACUGAGACACGGUCCAGACUCCUACGGGAGGCAGCAGUGGGGAAUAUUGCACAAUGGGCGCAAGCCUGAUGCAGCCAUGCCGCGUGUGUGAAGAAGGCCUUCGGGUUGUAAAGCACUUUCAGCGGGGAGGAAGGCGAUAAGGUUAAUAACCUUGUCGAUUGACGUUACCCGCAGAAGAAGCACCGGCUAACUCCGUGCCAGCAGCCGCGGUAAU
rnacentral:rRNA from 1 species